CAACCUCCAGCCAGCUUCCUCUGCAUGAAGGUCACCACCCUAAGCCGACCGUUACUUCCGCACAGCCUAUACAGCUUCUGUAGGCACCGUUCUUCCCUGCACAAUAAAGCUUGCCUCACAGCAAACUAUGAAACAUGUAUAUCCUCUGCCUAUGUCCUUGUCCAUCUUUCCUCCCAACAUAAGGUAGGACCCAGCACACCUUACCCUGUGCAUACAGCACUCACGAUUUGUUAAUACCUGCUCUCCUCCCUGUACAACCCCUCUCACGCAGAACCACACUGGUAUAUAUAUCUUUGCUUUAUUUAGGGCUGUUGCACUGGAAACUUUAGCUCCAGUAACACUAGAGAUGCAGAGUGACACUGUGGCCGGUCAAAACUAAUUUUGGUUGAAGUGGCUAAGGUGGUCUAAACUGAAAAAGUUAUUGCUUGGUCCUGCAAAUUCUAUGUGAGGAAUUACAUGAAAAAAAGAACGAUGAAGGCGGUAGAGAUGACAGUAUCUUGCUUUUCACUGCAGAGGAAAUAUAGGCAUUGGAUAUUCAGUCAAAUACACAUUCUAUUGCCAUUUGGCUAUCUUGGUCCUUUCCCUGUGAAUUUAAUCAUUGGAAGAUACAGUUGUGGUGUAUGUGUCCAUUACUGGGUGAAUCAAAAUAUACAGAGAAUCAUUGUUAAAAGGUCUAGAGUACAGACGUUGCUUUAAAGCCAGAGCACCUGCUGAUUGUGAUGUCAGUGCACUAUGGGGUUCGCUGAGACACUGAGGGAAAGAGUUAGUGCUUUGACAGCCAGGACUUGUGUUUGCCUUGGCAUCCAAGUACAGGAACUGGGGUCAAAAAGCCAAGCAGCAUUUUCGUUAGUUCCAUUUGACAUCAUGGAACGUUUAUCACAUUUAUUGUCAGGACUUUACAACUUAGCAUCGGAAGACUGAACUUUAACGACGUUGUCUACUUCUGGCUGUGUCAGGACUUGGCUUUUGGUUAACUAUUAGGAAGCCAAGUAUUUGAAAGCUCUUAUUUGUGUGACCAGUUUGCCGUUAAUAGGUAUUAAAAGCAGGCUGGCAGGGCAGGAAGAGGAACCGUUAUUCUCUGCAAAGUAAAGCAUAAAGUGCCCUCAAAGUGGCCCUAAACCUCUGUGCGAAAAUCUUGAAGAGCUUUCAUGGGUAGAGGCAGUAAAGAGGGAAUGACAGCUGACUAGAAUGACAUGACCAAGACAACGAGGCAAAAAACUCAGCACGUUGUCUUGCUUCCUUUCAGAUGCUACUGUAUUACAUCCAGUCCUUGGCCUAGUGUACUGUCCAGUGUGCUUUCUGUUUAGAAAAUUGCCAUGUAUUUAUACAAUGAUUUCUCUUUAGAAAAUUGCAUGUUCUUCACUUGAUACAAAUGCACAGCUUGAAUCAUAUUACUAACACUGGUCUUUGGUUUAAAACAGGCUUGCUUGAGAUUUCAAGAGAGGGCAUGAUGUCGCCUUCCACUUUAACCCGUGCUUCAGUGAGAACAACAGGAGAGUCGUUGUUCGCAAUACAAAGCUGGAUAAUGUCUGGGGAAAGGAAGAAAGACAGGCGGUUUUCCCAUUUGAAAGUGGUAAACCAUUCAAAAUACAAGUGCUGGUUGAAGCUGACCACUUCAAGGUUGUGGUCAGUGAUGCUCACUUAUUGCAGUACAAUCAUCAGAAGAGAAAUCUCAGAGAAAUCAGCAAACUGUGAAUUUCUGGUGACAUAAAUCUCACCAGUGCUUCACACACUAUGAUAUAAUCUUAAAGGGGCAGAUGCUUUUUAAAAAAA